GUUGCUCACGCCGACGCGUCUCUAAAUCACCAUUUGUAAACAUUUUUUUUUUGUAAUGUACGUUGCUUAAUUUUUGUUUUUCUCUAAAGUUUCACAGCACCCUGAAGUGCUUUACAGUAGUGGUAACAUAGAGACUUUUGGCAGUAAUGUAACAGCUGGCUUUUGGCUGUUUCUUGCCGUUUUGUUUUUAACUGUAAAAAUUAACAGGUACAGUACUGCUAAAUGGGUACCAGAAAAUAAGGAAUUACAAGGAAAGAAAGCCGAAGAAUGUUGUCUCCUAACUCUGACAUAUACCUUGUUUGUACCUGCCAGCGGGGACUUCCUUGCAGGCCAUGAGCUGACUUCCCGAUUGUCUCAGGCCCGCUCAAUGCGGACAGGGUACGAGAGGCGUACGCUCUCGAAUGCUCCCAUUUGGUGGAAGGGCGAAUCGAAAGCCAACCCUGAGAGGAGAAAACAAGAGGGCCAGACUUGUUAAAAAUGGAGUUGAUCAACACAUUGCUACACUUUGGUCGCCAAUGAAUUCACCAGUUCUUUUAAACCAGAAGUUACUUUGAAGGACACGCACUAAAGAAGAUUUCAAAUGGGAACGUCCAGAAUAUUUGUUUUUGUGUUUCAUUUGUUGUAGCUUGUGUCCGUUUAUAACCGUAUUCCCUGCUGUGUUGCUCUCAUACGUUUCUGUGUCGAGUACAAUGAACCAUGGAGAGCCCAAAUCGUUUAGAAAUUAUUUGUAUUCUGGUCUAUUAAUUUAUUGCUUGCAAGUGCGUACAGAGUGUAGGCCAUUUAAUAUUCAUUUCAUAUUGCAGUAUUUUGCAACAGCGUCAUGUAAACCAUUUGAAAAUACAACAGAAUAAAGUGUAUGAAACUCACGCCUGUUGUUUCUUCAGAGAUUAAAGUCAUAGCUCACCCAAAAA